GACCUUGUGGCGCAAUGGUAGCGUGGCUGAUACCAAAUCAGCCAGUUGUGUGCUCAAAUUGCAUCAAGGUCA